ACACACUGUCCCUCCACUCUAGGUCUGGCCCAACACGCUGUCCCUCCGCUCUAGGUCUGGCCCAACACGCUGUCCCUCCGCUCUAGGUCUGGCCCAACACACUGUCCCUCCGCUCUAGGUCUGGCACAACACACUGUCCCUCCGCUCUAGGUCUGGCCCAACACACUGUCCCUCCACUCUAGGUCUGGCCCAACACGCUGUCCCUCCGCUCUAGGUCUGGCCCAACACACUGUCCCUCCGCUCUAGGUCUGGCCCAACACACUGUCCCUCCGCUCUAGGUCUGGCCCAACACACUGUCCCUCCGCUCUAGGUCUGGCCCAACACGCUGUCCCUCCGCUCUAGGUCUGGCCCAACACGCUGUCCCUCCGCUCUAGGUCUGGCCCAACACGCUGUCCCUC
ensembl:lncRNA